rnacentral:rRNA from 1 species
UUGACCUCAAAUCAGGUAGGAUUACCCGCUGAACUUAAGCAUAUCAAUAAGCGGAGGAAAAGAAACUAACAAGGAUUCCCCUAGUAACUGCGAGUGAAGCGGGAAAAGCUCAAAUUUUGAAU